GCCACAGCGAGGAGCAGUCUGUAGUCCGGUCAUCAUCAGUCCCUAGGACCCACCUUCAUGGAGAGGCGAAUAGCAAAGCAAAACUUGGCAGCGGUUUACCGUUCCCAAAUUGUGUGGAUGUGGGUUUGUGGCCUAAAAGCUCGAGAAAUAUCCCUGGAGGUGGGAGUGAGCCUCACCACAGUAUACCGGUGGAUCCGACGGUGGCAGAUGGAAGGGACAGUGAGAAGACGUCCAUACGGUGGUGGGAGGUUCCAGACCUGCUGUGGAGACGGUACCCAGGUGACCUCGGCCGGACCUGCACAGCCUUUCAGAACAUAUGUUUGGGACUCACUCUAAUCCCGUAUCAGGAUUCCUAAUCUCCAGCCUAACUUUAAUCCUGUACCUUAAAGUUACUCACAGUUCGCCCGCACAGAAGUAAUGAUAAUAAUACGGAAGUGUGUUAUAUGUUUAUGGGUAAGUUUUAUUCCAAGAACUGCAAGUGGUUUUAGGUAGGAACGGGAUCAGAGGGAAUCUGUUUUAUCUUGUUUGGAAAAUAAACUCGUUGAGAGAA